AUGCCGCCGCUCCUCCGCGGCGUCGUGUCCGGCCGCCUCCGCCGCUCCCUCUGCACCGCCGCCGCCUCGAUCCCUCCAUGGGCGAUGGUGGACCGGGGCACCCUGAUGAAGAAGUCCGAGGGGAGCGUCUCCUUCUCCUUCGCCCGGGCGCCCGCCGUCUCCUACGUCACCAUCCCCAUCUUCGGCCGGGCCUUCAUGUCGAAGCCUCCCCCGGACGGCCGCGUGUACUCCGACAUGCUCCGCAGCCGCGUCCUCGCCGCCAGCGGCCACGGCUUCCUCCUCCUCGGCACCCUCAAGUCCCGCUACAGGGCUCACCCGCUCUCGGGCCUGGACCUCCCCGCCGAGGUGCUCCUCAAGGUCGCCCCUUUGGAGCUCCUCUACCGCAAGUUCACGCGCUUCGUCUGCAACCCCGUCUCCGGCCAGCUGUUCCGCCUCCCGGAGUUCGAGGAAGCGGAGAGGACCUUGUCGUUUACAGACGGCAUGGCGGGCAUGGGCCUCCUCACCCAAGCCGACGGCGAUGGUCCCAACCGCGCGCCCAAGAGGUAUGCCGCUGCUCAGCUCACCGAGGUCGACGGCGGGCGGCGCCUCCUGCUGCGCCGGUUCUCCUCCGAGACAGGGGAUUGGGACGAGCAGGUGCUGCCGUCCCCGCUGCCGCCUCAGCGGCGGAUGCACCUGGGCCACGAGGUGCUGGACUUCGGAGGCCGGCUCUGGUGGGUGGACGUGAGCUGGGGCGCCGUCUGCGUCGACCCUUUCAGCGUCCGGCCCGAGCUCUGCCCCGUCGAGCUCCCUCCUGACAGCAUGCUUCCGAACCAACAGGGCGAGACAGAGAUGGAGCAGCUUGUGCAGCGCUGGCACAUGGGAGUCAGCGCCGGCCGGCUGCGCUACGCCGAGAUCGACCCCUUGCACAUCAGGUCCUUCGUGCUCGACGACGACCAGAGCGGCCGCUGGACACUGGAGCACCAGGUGUCGGUUCCCGAUCUUUGGCGCAAUGGGGGCAACGCCAAGGCGACGCCUUCGAUUGCUGCUAUCGACCCGCUCGACAAUGAUGCUCUGCAUCUCAGCGUGGACAAAAUCCAUGUCAGUUUGGACAUGCUUGGGAGGACGAUUACUAAGAGUUCUGUGUGCACUGAUGAAAGCCAGAUGGCGUCAGGUUCAUAUCUUCCAUGUGUGCUUCCGUCGUUUCUCUGGUCAAGUCCGAUUCCAGGCAAGAACAAAACUUUGGACAUGGCGAAAAACACGACUUUGGCAGAUGUUCUGGUUCGUUCAGACAGACAGCAAACGAAAUGA
rnacentral:rRNA from 1 species